rnacentral:rRNA from 1 species
GUCUACAGUAAGACCACCCUGAACACAUUUGAUCUCAGGCGCUAAGCAGGGUGGGGCCUGGUUAGUACUUGGAUGGGAGACCUCCUGGGAAUACUGGGUGCUGUAGGCU